AGUGAACGCUGGCGGCGUGCCUAAUACAUGCAAGUCGAACGAACGAAUAAGAGCUUGCUCUUAUAAGUUAGUGGCGCACGGGUGAGUAAUAUAUAGCUAAUCUGCCUCUUAGUAGAGGAUAACAGUCGGAAACGAUUGCUAAUACUCUAUACUUCUGCUUUACAUAAGUAAAGUAGAGAAAGUUUUUCGCUAAGAGAUGAGGCUAUACUGUAUCAGCUAGUUGGUAAGGUAACGGCUUACCAAGGCUAUGACGCAUAACUGGUCUGAGAGGAUGAUCAGUCACAUUGGAACUGAGACACGGUCCAAACUCCUACGGGAGGCAGCAGUAGGGAAUAUUGCGCAAUGGGGGAAACCCUGACGCAGCAACGCCGCGUGGAGGAUGACACUUUUCGGAGCGUAAACUCCUUUUAUCGGGAAAGAAUAAUGACGGUACCCGAUGAAUAAGUACCGGCUAACUCCGUG
rnacentral:rRNA from 1 species